GAUGAGUUCUCCCUGAGACUUUAAGUCUCCUGAAGGAACGUUGAAGACGACGACGUUGAUAGGCCGGGUGUGUAAGCGCAGCGAUGCGUUGAGCUAACCGGUACUAAUGAACCGUGAGGCUUAACCUU
rnacentral:rRNA from 2 species